UACCAAACGAUCUCUACAUGUUUGGUUUAAUAUAGAGGAGAUGUUAUAUUUCACAUUCCUCAUAAGAGAUUAAACUAAGAUUGGAUUUUUCUCUUCUUACUAAAUGACUUUGAUAUGGGCAAUUCUAGUGGUUGCUCUAUCUGUAUAUGCCUUGUAUGAGCUGCUAAACAUUCACAAGAGACAAAGGUAUCCUCCAGGUCCAACAGGGCUUCCCAUUUUAGGACAUCUUCAUUUGUUAGGCAAAAAUCCACACAAAGAUUUACAAAAACUAGCGAAGAAACAUGGUCCUAUUAUGUAUGUGCAACUGGGGCUAGUACCUACAAUCGUUGCCUCGUCCGUUGAUGCAGCCGAGAAGGUCCUCAAGACAUAUGAUCACAUCUUUGCUAAUAGGCCUCAUCAUGAGGCAUCUCAACAUUUAGCUUAUGGCCAAAAGAAUUUGGUAUUUGCAAAGUAUGAUGUGUAUUGGCGCAACAUACGAAAAUUGUGCACAGUGCACCUUUUGAGCAAUCAAAAGAUCCAUUCAUUUCAAUCCAUGAGAAAACAACAAGUUGAACUUCUUAUUCAGUUGCUUAAAAAGGAAGCUCGUGAUCGUGUAGUUGUUGAUCUUAGUGCAAAUAUUACGUCCUUGAAUGCUAACUUGACUUGCUUAAUAGUGUUUGGAAAGAAGUACAUGGAUGGGGACUUGGACAAAAGGGGAUUCAAAGCUAUUGUUCAAGAUGUUGUGCAUUUAUCAGCAACACCAAAUCUUGGUGAUUUUUUCCCCUUCCUUGGUGCUAUUGAUCUCCAGGGUAUCACUCGCAAGCUCAAGGAUCUUUCAAAGGUGUUUGAUGAGUUCCUUGAGAAGAUUAUUGAUGAACACGUUAACCCUCAUGAACAUAAGCAAAACAAGGACUUUGUCGACACCAUGAUGGACAUAAUGCAAUCUGGAGAAGCAAAGUUUCAGUUUGAUCGUCGUCACAUAAAAGCUAUCCUCUUUGACAUGCUUAUAGCUGCAAUGGACACUACAGCAUCAUCAACGGAAUGGAUACUCACCGAACUUCUUAGGCACCCCCAAGUGACGAAGAAACUCCAAAAGGAGUUGCAACAAGUGGUAGGCCUCGAUAGAAUGGUGGAAGAAUCCGACCUGGCGAAUUUAAACUACUUAGACAUGGUUGUCAAAGAGGGCCUGAGGCUGCAUCCUGUAGCACCACUAUUUUAUCAUGAGUCCAUGGAAGACUGUGUAGUCGAUGGUUUCCACGUACAAAAGGGAUCCCGAAUCAUAAUAAAUUGCUACGCGAUUCAUAGAGAUCCAAACAUUUGGCCUGAGCCUGAGAAGUUUUUACCUGAGAGAUUUGUUGGGAGCAGUGUAGAUUUUCGUGGACGUGACUUCCAACUUCUACCAUUUGGCUCUGGGAGAAGAAGCUGCCCUGGAAUGCAGUUGGCAGUUACCAUCGUCCGCCUUGUGGUGGCACAAUUGGUGCAUUGCUUUGAGUGGGAGCUUCCAAAUGGUAUUCAGCCUUGUGAUUUAGACAUUGAUGAGAAGUUUGGGAUAGUGAGAAAAGCCUUUGCUGGCUAUUCCUACUUAUAGACUAAAGAAAUGAUGCAAAUACAAUGCAUAUAGUAAAAGAUCAACUUUACAUUUUGUUACAAGCAACAUUGAAAGUUUCUAGUAUAUGAUUUUGUAAUUGUUGUGUGCUUCCCCUGCUAAUCUACAAUAUACCUAAUUGAAUAUGUA